GGUGAGGUAACGGCCCACCAAGCCUACGACGGGUAGCCGGCCUGAGAGGGUGACCGGCCACACUGGGACUGAGACACGGCCCAGACUCCUACGGGAGGCAGCAGUGGGGAAUAUUGCACAAUGGGCGCAAGCCUGAUGCAGCAACGCCGCGUGAGGGAUGACGGCCUUCGGGUUGUAAACCUCUUUUAGUAGGGAAGAAGCGAAAGUGACGGUACCUGCAGAAAAAGCACCGGCUAACUACGUGCCAGCAGCCGCGGUAAUACGUAGGGUGCGAGCGUUGUCCGGAAUUAUUGGGCGUAAAGAGCUCGUAGGCGGUCUGUCGCGUCUGCUGUGAAAACCCGAGGCUCAACCUCGGGCCUGCAGUGGGUACGGGCAGACUAGAGUGCGAUAGGGGAGAAUGGAAUUCCUGGUGUAGCGGUGGNAUGCNCAGAUAUCAGGAGGAACACCGAUGGCGAAGGCAGUUCUCUGGGCCGUAACUGACGCUGAGGAGCGAAAGCGUGGGGA
rnacentral:rRNA from 1 species